rnacentral:rRNA from 1 species
UACAGAGGUCCCAAGCGUUGUUCGGAUUCAUUGGGCGUAAAGGGUGCGUAGGCGGCUUGUCACGUCGGGUGUGAAAGCCCGGGGCUUAACCCCGGGUCUGCAUUCGAUACGGGCAGGCUAGAGUGUGGUAGGGGAGAUCGGAAUUCCUGGUGUAGCGGUGAAAUGCGCAGAUAUCAGGAGGAACACCGGUGGCGAAGGCGGAUCUCUGGGCCAUUACUGACGCUGAGGAGCGAAAGCGUGGGGAGCGAACAGG